rnacentral:lncRNA from 1 species
UUGGGGGCACAGACACCAAGGCCAGCCCCCUGCCUUGGUGCUGUGAGGUCCUCAGGCCCUGAGAGGGAGGUGGGUCACCAGCAGCCACAGAAAGUCAUGGCAGUAGGUUGAUCACCGGAAGCAUGGCUAAGACUGAGUCCAGGUGUGGCUCAGGCUUUGUGACACUCUUUUUUUUUUUUUUUUUUUUCUGUUUGCCCUGGACACUGGCUGGAGGAAUGAGGCCUGGAAGCAGGAAGCAAAAGAUCAGCUCGGAGAGAAGGAAGAGUGCUGCCCCAGACACAGCGGGUGCCCCAUCUUCUUCAGGCAUCAGCAAUGAAAGACCUCGGCUGACUUCAGUUUUCCAGAUGAAAACAUCUGUACACCUGCAGGACACUGAAAACCUGCAGCUGCUAGGACAGAGGCUUCUUAGGACUCACCUGCCUUGGAGGACCAACACUGCCCAGCAUCUGCCAUCUGUGUGUUUGGAAAGGAGCUAAUGGGACUCUGUCACCACCUGCUGGCAUGGAGUGGAACUGCAACCCAGCUAUACUAGGCACUGCAAACUGUUCAAAGAAUGGAGGAGUGGUGGGUGGGUAUGGAAAAUUCUGUAGAAAUAAACAUGUUUACUCCUAACACAGUAACCUUCACAGCAAGUGCCUGAGACAGGGCCUCCUCAUUCCGCCCAGGUUGACCUUGAACCUGAUCCUCCUGCUGCCUCUUCCCAGUGCUGGAGUUACAAGUCUGUGCAAUCAGGCCUGGCUUCAAUCAGAUUCUGACAAUGGUCUAACACCUCUGCAUCUCAUUCACACUGAGUCACUCAAUGAAUGAAUGUCUACAUUCCAGGGAGAGGACCCAGGUGGACCAGGGGAUAGAAUGGAAAACAGGUCUUUGAUUAUGCAAAUUUCUGCAAAAAAAAAAAAAAAAAAAAAAAAAAAACGGAAGGUGGGUGCAUGCCACAAUUAGGGUUUCUAUCACCGUGAUGAAACCCCAUGACCAAAAGCAAGUUGAGGAGGAAAGGGUUUACUCAGCUUACACUUCAGCUUUGUAGUCAACUACUGAAUGAAGUCAGGACAGGAACUAAACAGGGCAGGGACCUGGAGGCAGGCGCUGAUGCAGAGGGCAUGGCGGGCCCUGCUGACUGGUGUGCUCGCCAUGGCUUGCUCAGCCUGCUCUUACAGAACCCAGGACCACCAGCCUAGCCCACAUCAAUCAUUAAUUAAGAAAAUGCAGCUGAAGGUGGUAAUGCAGGCUUUAAUCCCCACACUUGGGAAGCAGAGGCAGGAGGAUUUCUGAAUUGGACGCCAGCCUGGUUUAUAGAGUGAGUUCCAGGACAGCCAGAAAUACAGAGAAACCCUGUCUCGAAAAUAAAAAUGCUGCUGGCUUUUCUCAGUU